rnacentral:misc_RNA from 1 species
UCAAACUUGGUCAUUUAGAGGAAGUAAAAGUCGUAACAAGGUUUCCGUAGGUGAACCUGCGGAAGGAUCAUUAUCGAGUUGAAGGUCUUUCGAGGCCUGACCCUCCAACCCUGUGUUUACAUCGACCACUGUUGCUUCGGUGCGGUCAUGGACCCCCGAGGGAGCCCUUUUGGGUGCUCCAUCGGUUCCCUGGCGCGCCGCGAGCCUCAUUGUCAACCUUCUGUAAUCAUAUGUCUUUGUCUAAAUGUUGUGCUGGGCGCGAGGAGCAAUCUGAGCACCGCACGAAACGCUUAAAAAAACAAAACUUUCAACAACGGAUCUCUUGGUUCUGGCAUCGAUGAAGAACGCAGC